GACGAACGCUGGCGGCGUGCCUAAUACAUGCAAGUCGAACGCAGUGGGGACGGGUGAGUAACACGUGGGUAACCUCCCAUCAGAGGGGAUAACCCGUGGAAACAGGUGCUAAACCGAUACUGCUGGAUCGACCCGCGGUGCAUUAGCUAGGUGGUGGGGUAACGGCCCACCAAGGCCACGAUGCAUAACCGGCCGGAGAGGAUGAUCGGCCACACUGGGAAUGAGACACGGCCCAGACUCCUACGAGAGGCAGCAGGAGGGAAUCUUCGGAAAUGGAGGAAAGUCUGACCGAGCAAGGCCGCGUGAGUGAAGAAGGUUUUCGGAUCGUAAAGCGCUGUUAUUAGGGAAGCGGUACCUACCCAGAAAGCCCCGGCUAACUACGUGCCAGCAGCCGCGGUAAUAC
rnacentral:rRNA from 1 species